UACGUAGGGAGCAAGCGUUGUCCGGAAUCAUUGGGCGUAAAGCGCGCGUAGGCGGCCCCGUAAGUCCGCUGUGAAAGUCAAAGGCUCAACCUUUGAAAGCCGGUGGAUACUGUCGGGCUAGAGUCCGGAAGAGGCGAGUGGAAUUCCUGGUGUAGCGGUGGAAUGCGCAGAUAUCAGGAGGAACACCGAUGGCGAAGGCGACUACCUGGCCUGUUCUUGACGCUGAGGCGCGAAAGCUAGGGGAGCAAACGGG
rnacentral:rRNA from 1 species